UACGAAGGGGGCUAGCGUUGCUCGGAAUCACUGGGCGUAAAGCGCACGUAGGCGGCUUUCUAAGUCAGGGGUGAAAUCCUGGAGCUCAACUCCAGAACUGCCUUUGAUACUGGAGGGCUUGAGUCCGGAAGAGGUGAGUGGAACUCCGAGUGUAGAGGUGAAAUUCGUAGAUAUUCGGAAGAACACCAGUGGCGAAGGCGGCUCACUGUCCGGUACUGACGCUGAGGUGCGAAAGCGUGGGGAGCAAACAGGGAU
rnacentral:rRNA from 1 species